AAGGCAUGUGUAGAACAUACUGCGACAUCGCGUGGCUGCUACUGUACCGGAACCUAGGAAUGAAAAGUGCUCGCGCUGGAAAACAAAAGUUUGCCAAUUUUCCUACCACCGGCGUAAAAAAGUGGAUAUACGAAUCGAAGGUUCGCCAUCAACACCGCCAUCGACGAUGACAGAGGACCAUGUAAUGACAAUUCACAUUACCGGCAGAUAAAGAGGCUAGUUCUGCUACAGAGACUCCUUAUGCAGAAAAGAAAACAUCAAUAGUCAUUCGCCAAUUGCUAAACAAUACUUCUGGCUUUGAGGUAGCAAUGUUUUGUUACCAACUUUCCCGAACAUUGGUACUACAGUCGGCUUUGCCGUUCCAGAUAAGCACAGCGCUACGUUCUUUUGUAGUCCUGUUUUUUCGUGUAAAGACGGAAUUUGAUGUUUCCCAAUUCACGUACACUUUAUAGCGUCACUUCAUCGAACUAUGGCCCUAGUCGAACCGGGUUAAGAAUUCGCCCUUCACUCGUACGGCGCACGAAGAUGCUGGGAAAUUUUAACUUCGUCAAUUGCUUGUUUUUCCGCAGUGUGUGGUAAAUGUUUUACUCCUCCUAUCGCCGCAAUAGCUUGUGCAUUCAGGCAAAUUUUUGGAGCGAACCAAGGUGUGGACAAAAGAACAAGUUGUCAAAAAGUGAUUUUCGGUGCCGCCAUCAUGCAUGCUGCUGCACCGUACGUCACGCCUCUUUUCUAAAUUAUUUUAAAUGUAUUGUUGUCUGGGCAUUCAAAGGAGAACCGCAAACAGCUCAUCAAUUAAAACAACGGUCUUUUUUUCUAGCGAUGAAA